rnacentral:rRNA from 1 species
CAGUCGCCACGGUAAUACGUAGGGUGCGAGCGUUAAUCGGAAUUACUGGGCGUAAAGCGUGCGCAGGCGGUUAUGUAAGACAGAUGUGAAAUCCCCGGGCUCAACCUGGGAACUGCAUUUGUGACUGCAUGGCUAGAGUACGGUAGAGGGGGAUGGAAUUCCGCGUGUAGCAGUGAAAUGCGUAGAUAUGCGGAGGAACACCGAUGGCGAAGGCAAUCCCCUGGACCUGUACUGACGCUCAUGCACGAAUGCGUGGGGAGCAAACAGGAUUAGAUACCCCCGUAGUCCCUGUCUCUUAUAC